CAUUGUUCCAGGAGGAAGGAAGGAAAUGGGCACAUGUAGUAAGGUUUGCAGUUAUGGAAGAAAGGUAAGUGUUUGGCUUCUGUGUUUUCAAGGAAGUAGAGGUAAGGCCAUCAGUCACAGAUAUGGAAA